rnacentral:tRNA from 1 species
GUGGUUGUUGCUCAGUGGUAGAGUGCUCCCUAACAUGCAUGAAGCACUGGGUUCGAUCCUCAGCACCACA